AGCGUGAGUGAUGAAAAUUGGACCUUAGGUUGGUCUUUUUUGCACCGUUUUGGCGCAAAGCUAAGGACCUACCAAUGCUAGGCCUUGUCAUAGUUACACUGACACGCA